AAACCGCCCAGAGGUAAACGGGUGGAUCCGCAAAGUCGGCCCGUGGAAUUCAGCGCGGCGCGCAGACCUGGGCUGUCGUGGUUCGGGAUCCCUGGGACCCCACCGUGGCGUCGUUCGGGUCUCCGCCGCGUGCACUUUCCACGGGCAGAGUGCCACAACCGGUUCGGCGGCGGCUAAAAGUUUGGAGGGUUGUAGGUGGGGGCGCUUGCGUCCCUACCAGCCCUUCUCUUGCGAGUCGCCGCCGGACCGAGGGAACGCCGCGCGCUUCGAGGCCACCCUCCCCUCCUGGUGAGUUCGACUGGGAGAGACUGGGCAACCGUGUCUCCCGACCGCUCAUCUGUGAUCGGCGUGGGGCUGGCCGGGCGUGCAUUGUCUGUCAAGGUUGGUGGCAAGUAUGUCGGCAUUCCACCCGACCCGUCUUGAA
rnacentral:rRNA from 1 species